ACGGGUGAUUAACACGUGGGUGAUCUGCCCUGCACUUUGGGAUAAGCCUGGGAAACUGGGUCUAAUACCGAAUAUGACCACGCUCUUCAUGGGGUGUGGUGGAAAGCUUUUGCGGUGUGGGAUGGGCCCGCGGCCUAUCAGCUUGUUGGUGGGGUAAUGGCCUACCAAGGCGACGACGGGUAGCCGGCCUGAGAGGGUGACCGGCCACACUGGGACUGAGAUACGGCCCAGACUCCUACGGGAGGCAGCAGUGGGGAAUAUUGCACAAUGGGCGCAAGCCUGAUGCAGCGACCCCCCGUGAGGGAUGACGGCCUUCGGGUUGUAAACCUCUUUCACCAGGGACGAAGCGCAUGUGACGGUACCUGGAGAAUAAGCACCGGCCAACUACGUGCCAACAGCCGCGGUAAUACGUAGGGUGCGAGCGUUGUCCGGAAUUACUGGGCGUAAAGAGCUCGUAGGUGGUUUGUCGCGUUGUUCGUGAAAACUCACAGCUUAACUGUGGGCGUGCGGGCGAUACGGGCAGACUAGAGUACUGCACGGGAGACUGGAAUUCCUGGUGUAGCGGUGGAAUGCGCAGA
rnacentral:rRNA from 1 species